rnacentral:misc_RNA from 1 species
AGGCGACGUAGGACGCCAGCAUGACGAAGCUGCAGGCGCGGGAGAGGUCGAGGGACGCCGCGGCCGAGGUGGCGGAGACGGAGUGCUCGCCAGCGGCGACGGCGUAGCGGAGGAGGAGCGGGGCGGAGUGGCAGAGGACGGCGAGGAAGAGGAGGGCGGUGCUGACGUCGGACUGGUUGCGGUCGUAGGGCUGGCGGGCGCCGAGGUUGACGACGCCGCCGCAGAAGAGGGAGGUGCCGAGGACGAGGAGGAGGUUGGAGAGGACGGAGCCCAGCAGGG